GCAAGUCGAACGGCAGCGCGAAAGAGCUUGCUCUUUUUGCGGCGAGUGGCAGAGGGGAGAGUAACUCGUGGGAAUCUGCCCGAUUGUGGGGCAUAACCCGAGGAAACUCGGGCUAAUACCGCAUAAGCCCUGAGGGGGAAAGGUAGGGAUCUCUUCGGAGACCUGCCGCAAACGGAUGAGCCCGCGUCCGAUUAGCUAGUUGGUGAGGUAAAGGCUUACCAAGGCGACGAUCGGUAGCUGGUCUGAGAGGAUGAUC
rnacentral:rRNA from 1 species